rnacentral:rRNA from 1 species
UACGAAGGGGGCUAGCGUUGCUCGGAAUUAUUGGGCGUAAAGAGCUCGUAGGCGGUCUGUCACGUCGGUCGUGAAAACUUGGGGCUUAACCCUGAGCUUGCGGUCGAUACGGGCAUGACUUGAGUUCGGCAGGGGAGACUGGAAUUCCUGGUGUAGCGGUGAAAUGCGCAGAUAUCAGGAGGAACACCGGUGGCGAAGGCGGGUCUCUGGGCCGAUACUGACGCUGAGGAGCGAAAGCUAGGGUAGCAAACGGG